rnacentral:rRNA from 1 species
UCGAGCGAAGCACUUAGGAAAGAUUCUUCGGAUGAUUUCCUAUUUGACUGAGCGGCGGACGGGUGAGUAACGCGUGGGUAACCUGCCUCAUACAGGGGGAUAACACACCGAAAGGUGUACUAAUACCGCAUAAGACCACGGGAUCACAUGGUUCUGGGGUAAAAGAAUUAUCGGUUUGGGGUGGGCUCGCGUCCGAUUAGGUAGUUGGUGAGGUAACGGCCCACCAAGCCGACGAUCGGUAGCCGACCUGAGAGGGUGAUCGGCCACAUUGGGACUGAGACACGGCCCAAACUCC